rnacentral:rRNA from 1 species
GACGAACGCUGGCGGCGUGCUUAACACAUGCAAGUCGAGCGAGGCCCUCCUUCGGGGGGUGCCCUAGCGGCGAACGGGUGAGUAACACGUGGGCAACCUGCCCUCAGCUCUGGGAUAACCCCAAGAAAUUGGGGCUAAUACCGGAUGUGACCGCUGACCGCAUGGUCUGGUGGUGGAAAGAUUCAUCGGCUGAGGAUGGGCCCGCGGCCUAUCAGCUUGUUGGUGGGGUAAUGGCCCACCAAGGCGACGACGGGUAGCCGGCCUGAGAGGGUGACCGGCCACACUGGGACUGAGACACGGCCCAGACUCCUACGGGAGGCAGCAGUGGGGAAUAUUGCGCAAUGGGCGAAAGCCUGACGCAGCGACGCCGCGUGAGGGAUGACGGCCUUCGGGUUGUAAACCUCUUUCAGUAGGGACGAAACGCAAGUGACGGUACCUACAGAAGAAGCACCGGCCAACUACGUGCCAGCCGCCGCCGUAACAC